rnacentral:sRNA from 1 species
GCUGGGUGUGGUGGCACACACCUGUAAUCCCAGCUACUUGGAGUCUCAGGCAGGAGGAUCGCAAAUUUGAGGUCAGCUCCAGCAACUUAGCAAGAAGACCCUGUCUCAA